GGAUGCAGCAAUCCAUCAGCUGACGUGUCGUGAUACUGUCGCACGUUGCCUUUCGCCCACGAUCGUGCGAAAGCCUUCCGUUAUGGGUGCGGAGACGAGGUGAGGGGGCUUAUCGUUCUUACUCUCUCGGUGCUGGGCAACAGUCGGUUGGCGAGUCGAAGGCGUCAGCUUCUACGCACUCACACACAGAGGCAUACCCACCACGGCACUCACUUCGGCAACCAAGGAUUGUGGGAGCUGCAGCCUUUUCUCUGCGCAUACGCUUUCUGCCGUUGUAUUUUGGGUGUCUUUUACUACUUCUAUCACCUCUGUGCCCUUUUCUACAUGCUGCAACUCUCUCUGCUUCUUCGUGGUGUUCCGCGCAUUUCGUAUCGCGCAAUGAAAAGCGCCGCAGCCACCCCUGCCACUGCAGCGGUGGCGGCAGCCGCUAGCUCGAGAUUAGGCGAAGUAUGGGAGGGUAGUAUCGAGCGCGCUGAGGCUCUCGAGAACCUCAGCAAUGAGGUGUUUGGCCGAGGAAACAGACAUUUGAAAAAUGUGGAAAUGCUGACGGCUCUCCCGGAAGGUCUGCACUCCUUCCCUGAAGUGUGCUUCAUUGGGAAGCCAGGGUGCGGCAAGUCGAGCCUUAUCUCGUGUCUUCUGCAUAAUCACCGGCUGGGCAAAGCCGGGGCAACUGCCGGCACUACGCGACUUCUGCAGUUUUUCAACGUGGGCGACGCGCUUCUCUUGGUGGAUACGCCAGGCUACGGUGGCUGGCGAGGCCGUGAGAUGGGGCAGCGUCUAGCAGAGCAGGCCAACGCGUUUUCGAUUCUGUUCCGCUACCUGGCCUUGCGCAACGGAAGUAAUCUCAAGCGGGUAUACUGGCUCAUGGAGUCCUCGGCGCGGACGCCAGUGUCCUUCCAGCCGCGUGAUGAGGAGCUUCUAACUUUUCUCUCCCGGGAACGCAUUCCUUUUAGUGUCGUGCUCACCAAGAUCGACCGUCACUGGCGCCACUACGCCGAGCAGCAGCGGACGGCUGAUCGAGUAGGAAAAGAUGGCUUCGUACAUCCAAGGGUCAGGCGACCAGAAACACACGUUCAGGGGUUUUUUACGCGCGCGAACCUGCCUCAAGACGGUGUGGCACGCAAUAUGCAGGAAGUGUCUGAGUUUCUAGGCACCGAUCAAGUACCGAUUCUCGGCGUAAGUGCGAACCGCCUACAACCAAACCGUUCGCGUAAUCUGGAGCUGCUGCAGCACGACAUCGUUUACUACUGCACGCAAGACCUACUGCACUCAGAGGAGCUCUCCUUUCGCAACAUGCACAAGCUGAGCUAUGCGCCACCGACGGCUGAUCGUAUUCAUGAGGUUCAGCUGCGAUACCCAGUAGAGUCGUUCGUGGUUCCCGAGAACAACAACAUGUCAUUGGCACGCAUGGUAGAGCACCACGAGGAGAUGAAAGCACGAUUUCGCGAAAACAACGUAUCUGCGCGGCGCCUCUCCGCCAAAGAUGUGGCGGUGUGCCAUCUGGAGAGCGUCGCAAAGCUGAGGGCAGCCUGCCAACACGAUGCUGCAGAACGAGAGCGUGCGGAAAAAGUGCUUCCCACCACGACCUAUCUCUGCGAAUCUACCUCGACGGCUGCUGCUGCAACGUCGCUGCCGCUGCCAGGCGAUGUCGCAGGCCUGUUGCGCGCCAGCGAAGAGCAGGACACGGUUACGGCAUCGGUAAGCCGUGUGGGGGGCCUUCCUGCGCGAUGGAAGGAAUGCGGUGACCACAAUGCCGAGGCGGGCGCGGCUGACGUGUGCGCUGGCCGGCGCUUCCGCGUGCGGCCGCUCCUCGCAGGCGAGAGGCAGACGAGCCAAGACUCCUUGGAGGAUAUACUGGAGCGUGCGCGCGAUGAGGGGGAGCCGAGGCAGGACGUUGCAGGUAGCAUCGGGGACAAAGGCGAAAAGACCGCCAACGCAGCGUCGCCUCCGCACCGUACACACGCGGGCGUCACUUUGUCGUCUCAUACGUUGAGUCCGGUGCCAGACGAGGCUCCGGCACCGCCGCCGUACCGCGUUGACGCUGUGCUCCUGCAGGAGCGGCCUCUCGAAGCGCUUCCGCUCCCCGCAAUGCUCGACCCAGAUGCUCACUACGUCACCGCCAUUGAUGGAACGCUGAUCCCGCGAAGCAUGAUUUCCGUGUCCGUGGAGCAGCUGGCUGUGAGCAAGGACGAUGAGCUCGCCCAUUUUGCCACCAAGUCUGGCGCUGGCGCGUACGAGGAGCUACUUCUGGCAGACCAAGAGAAGGGCAAUGCGGGGGCCGAUCUCUUCAUGGAGACGAGCGAUGCAGCGCAUCUUCCUGAGGAAGUGCAGGCACAGCUGAUGGAGGCUCGUGGGCGUCUCACUCGCUCUGCAGCGCGCAAGCAGAAGGAACGAUUCCUUGCAAAGUAUGUGGAGCGGAAGCGAAAGGAGCGAUCGAUCUACAUGCAGGCGGAGGGGUAUAUGUGCCCGUGGCUAGGGAGGUCUGAGGGUCGGAGCGUGGUGCAGGGUUUCGCUGGCUCCUGCGGCACCGGAAAAGGCGGGGCUGUGAUGCGUGAUCUCAAGCAGAAAGGGUUCGGUGGUAAGAGCUACUCUGCGCGGACCAUGAAGAACAGAGGCCGCGCCACGAAAAAGACCGGGUUUUGGGCCGCAUAGGGUGUACACACUUGUGCACGUGUGUAUGCUUGUGUGCAGUGCCGGUACAGCGCCUUUCUUUCGGCCUCUCUUGCCUAGGUUUUCAGACCAUCGGCUGCAUCGCCACGGUCGGCUUUUUUCACGGAGCCGAGAAAGAAAGAGUUCAAGGCGGUAAAAUACGCGUGUGUAUCCCCAGUGCAGUAAGCACCAGCUAUGGAAACUAU
rnacentral:misc_RNA from 1 species